CGUGAGCAAUCUGCCCCCGACUCUGGGAUAACCCCGAGAAAUCGGAGCUAAUACCGGAUACGACACCUCCUGGCAUCAGGUGGGUGUGGAAAGAAUUUCGGUUGGGGAUGAGCUCGCGGCCUAUCAGCUUGUUGGUGAGGUAAUGGCUCACCAAGGCGACGACGGGUAGCCGGCCUGAGAGGGUGACCGGCCACACUGGGACUGAGACACGGCCCAGACUCCUACGGGAGGCAGCAGUGGGGAAUAUUGCACAAUGGGCGCAAGCCUGAUGCAGCAACGCCGCGUGGGGGACGACGGCCUUCGGGUUGUAAACCUCUUUUGGCAGGGAAGAAGCGAAAGUGACGGUACCUGCAGAAAAAGCACCGGCUAACUACGUGCCAGCAGCCGCGGUAAUACGUAGGGUGCAAGCGUUGUCCGGAAUUAUUGGGCGUAAAGAGCUCGUAGGCGGUGUGUCACGUCUGCUGUGAAAAUCCAAGGCUCAACCUUGGACUUGCAGUGGGUACGGGCACACUCGAGUGCGGUAGGGGAG
rnacentral:rRNA from 1 species